UACAGAGGGUGCGAGCGUUGUUCGGAAUUAUUGGGCGUAAAGGGCGCGUAGGCGGUGCGGUAAGUCACCUGUGAAAUCUCCUGGCUCAACUGGGAGCUUGCAGGCGAAACUGCCGUGCUGGAGUGUGGGAGAGGUGCGUGGAAUUCCUGGUGUAGCAGUGAAAUGCGUAGAUAUCAGGAGGAAUACCGAUGGCGAAGGCAGGUCUCUGGGCUGACACUGACGCUCAUGCACGAAAGCGUGGGGAGCAAACAGG
rnacentral:rRNA from 1 species